UGCCCACCAUAAUGCAAUCUUCUCUGCUUG
rnacentral:piRNA from 1 species